CAGCAUUUUUACAUAAACAAUAGGGCAGAGGAAGCAAUCGGAUAGGCAUUUGCUUCAGGUGAGCAGAGGGAUGACUUUCUGUCCCACAUCUGUGAAGAUCAGCUGUUGGUUUACAUUGCCAGGGUGAAAUUCAACAGAACUAAUUUAGGGUGAAGAUCUUGAGGCCCACAAGGAAUUUCCUUGUGGGAAAAUUGUGAGGAAGAGCAAUCACUGCACCCAGCCACCUCUAUAUACAUGUACACAAAGCCACACAGUUUACACAGUCACAGGUAUUUAAGUACACACUAUUCACACACAAAUACAUAUAUAGACACACAUGUACAGUCCGUCCAAAAUAUAUGUACAUAAAAGCACACUAUUACACCUUCAUAUGUGCACACACACACACACCCAGACUCACUUCAUACACACAUAGAUACAACAGCCACAGCUCCCCAUCACCUACACACACACACACACACCUGGACACCCAGCUCUAAUAUAAUCAGAUAGAGAUAUGCAUGCAGACAAAUUUGCCUGUAUAGUCAAACACAUAGGCAAAUAGAGAACGAGACACCACAUGAACAAAGGCAAACCUACACACAAAGACACAGAGCACACUUACGCAUAUAUCUAUAGACCCACCAUGGCACAUAUGGGUAAGUGCACACAGGCAAACUCACACACACGAGCAUGCACAGGCAGAGAACACAAAUGUACACUCCCAGGUGUCAUAAAGAACAGCCCAGCUUCGGCUUGGGAACGUCACAUCAGACAAUAGGAACGGCUGCACCGCGCGUUUCCUCGGCUGCCAGCUUCCCAGCCACAGAGGAUGCCUCACCUGCUAUGUCAGCUCCCCUCUGCCCCACCUCACAAGAAGCUCAGAAGCUGAGGAGUCACAGAGAGACCUCCCUACUGUGUCAGAGGAAUAGGUCCUUCUGUCACGGGGCACAGGACCCUUGACCGCAAAAUGACGUGAGUUACCACUGACUAUUUUCUGGGUCUUGAUCUUGUGACUCCAAAUGGAUGCAUUUUAGGACCCAAAGGGACCUAAGAGAGUGCUCAGACAGCUGGCUGCGUUAGGAGCUACCUGUGGCUGCUGAAGAAGAGUUUGCGUCAAUUUAAAGAAAGAGCCAUUCAAGGAAUGAGGACCAUGACCUUGGCUGCACUGACCAGCUGGGCUCUGGAGACUCAGUGAGGCUGCCCAGCCACCAACAGGCCCUGCACAAUAGAUCCACGGACCCAGCAGUCAGAGGUGACCCUAGGGGUCACUGGCCCGUGGCUAAGGAGGAGGAGCACAGACCUGCGACCCCCUUUUCCCAUGGACCACCCAGGGAGGCUGAGCGGGGACUCUGAGCUCAGAUGGACAACCUCAGAGCCACUGGGAAUUUGCCUGAGGCCACUGGGGCCAGGGUUAAAUCCAUAUGAAGCAGCGCGGGCUGUGCACCUGCCAUUUUCUAGGCUCUGUCACAUGCAUCUUUCUGCCAAAUCUCAUGGUGAUCCUUCAAGAAUAGUACUAUUAAUCUCCCCAUUGACAGAGGGAGAAAGGGAGGCUCAGAGACGUUAAGUGUCUCACCAAAGCUCACACAGCUUCCAAGCAAUAGAACUUUACUCAGUACUCAGUACAGGUUAACAUUUAUUCAUUCACUCGAUAACCAUUUGCAGCACAGCUACCAUAUGCCAGGCAGUGUUCUAGGCACUUAGAAUACAUAGAUGAGCAAAACAGGCAAAACCUUUCCCUCAGGGCGUUACCAUUUGAGUGCCACCAUGCCACGGCUGGUACAGUUGCUAUUGAGACAAACAAAAUAAGACCCAGUUUUUGCCUUUGGGGAGUAGGUAGUCUAGUGGAGGAGGCACAUACACAGAAAAUUCCAAAGUACUGUGGAAAUCUCAGGGUACUUUGAUAGGGAUUACCAGAGGAGCUGUGAGAAUAAAGGCUGGAUAUCAGGGAAGGCUUCCUGGAAGAGGUGUUGCCUGAAAUGAGCCUGGAAGGAUCACUUAGGGACAGAAAAGUCAUUCCGUGUAGAAUUCAUGGUACAGCUUGAGCAAAGACACAGAAGCAGAAGGCAGGUUUUUGGUUCCAUGAACUCUACAUCUGGCUACAUACAAAUGGUGAAGAGGAACAGGGAGAAACAUGGUUGAAAAGAACAGGCUUGGACUUCAGGAAGCAGUAAAAUGAGCGAAUGCCAUUUAUGGUUACAAAGAUAACUCAGCUGGGGGCCAAACAGAGACUGAAAUGGAGUGGGUGAGGAUGGAGGCCGGGAGGAGAUGGCUGCAGAGGUCCCAGCAAUGACAGUGGUUGUGGGAAGGGGCAACCCCAAGUCUUGUGCUCCCAACUGCAAAUCCAGUGCUUUUUCUAAAAAAAUAUUUAAAUAAUUUAUUUAUUUUUGAGAUGGAGUCUCGCUCUGUCACCCAGGCUGGAGUGCAGUGACACAAUGUCGGCUCGUGCAACCUCUGCCCCCCGGGUUCAAGCGAUUCUCCUGCCUCAGCCUCCCAAGUAGCUGGGAUUACAGACGCACGCCUCCACGCCUGGCUAAUUUUUUAUAUUUUUGGUAGAGAUGGGGUUUCACCAUGUUGCCCAGGCUGGUCUCGAACUCCUGACUUCAAGUGAUCCACCCACCUCGGCCUCCCAAAGUACUAGGAUGACAGGCGUGAGCCACUGUGCCCAGCCUUAUUUUUUUUUUUAAUUUAUAUUUUCAGAGGCAAACGAUCCUUGCUCAUUAAAAAAAGGAAAUAGAAAUUCAAAACAAAAAUGCCUGUAUCUGAUGGGAAAGAUGAGCCCAAUGUUCUUUUUUAAAAAACCUUUAUUAUGAAAUAUUUCAACUGAACAUAUGCAGUUUAUAUUGUUAUAAAGCAUAACAAGCAAUCAAACAGCUGUGAACCCACCACUCCAUGUCAGAACUAGAACUUCCCAAAGCAGUCGGAGCUGAGGUGAGAUCCACUCUGAUGCCCUUCCCCAACUCCACGCCACCCCCCAAGACCUGACCACCUGAUUACUCUGGGAUUUCAUUUUUGUCUCGUUCCCUUGCUUUGCUUUAUGUCUUUACCAAAUGUGAAUGUGUGCCUAAACAAUACAGUGCUCGAUUUGCUUGUGUUUAAGCUUUAUUACAAAUAUAACUUUGAUCCUUCUGCUACUUGCAAUUCUAAAUUUGAUAUUACGAGUCUCAGCCUCAUCGGCGUUGAUGCGUGUGACCGACAUUGAUUCACUCUCACCAGUACGUGGUGUGUUCCGUUGCAUGCAUGCACCCCUGCUGGGGUAUCCAUUCUCCUGUUGGUGGACCUUUGGGUGGUAUUAGUUGCUGGUCAUCUCCAUGGUGCUGUCCUCUUGCAGGUCUCCAGGACACAUGUGCAUGAGUUCCUCUAGGAAACCACGGUGUACAACUGCUGGGUUGCAGGCCCAGGGUUCUUUCCACUUCUCUAUCCUCCCAAGUAGGGUCCAGCUGGCCUUAGUGCUGCCAUGCUGAGAGCUCUGGGAGGGGCAACCCAGGGCAGACAGGCCCAGGCCAGCCACCCUGCCCCAGGCAUUUCCCAGGACUCAUCAGGCACCCAGCGGCCCCUCAGCAGUGAGCAAUACCAGAAAUCUGCCAGCUGGCUACUAACUGGGUCACAAGAGAGUACUGCUGUCUCACUCAGGGUGCGUUCCAUUUCCUUCAGCACUUGCGCCAAGUAAGGCUGUGUUCACAGGCCACAAGACCCAAGGGAGAUGGAAAUCAGCUCACAGAUGCUGAGCUGACUGCACACCAGGCAGUGUGCAAAGCACCUUACACAUAUAACUCACUUAAUCCUCAUCCCUGACUGCACGAGGUGGGCACUAUUAUUAACCCCACUUUACAGAUAAGAAACUGAGGCGCAGGAAGUUGAAAAUUUUGCCCAGACCAACACGUACAACUUCAAAUCCAGACAGCCUGGCCGCUCUGCUCCUACUACUCUGCUACCCCAUCUCUCAAGAGGGGAAAAGGACUAGCUCCUUGCCCAAUCCUGAGGUUGUCAGCAUUCUUUUACUGGCAAGGAAAACAAAUGGAACUUCAAUGAAUAUAUGUAGAAAGAAAGACUUAUUAGCUGACAAAAAUCAAUAGAGAAAAGACAGGUUAGAAGCAGAUCUCAGGGCCCACUGGGUCCAGGGAGGCGAAAGCGCCCCUCCUUCUCCGUCUUCCUCCUCCACGUCUCUCUUUGUGCUGUUUUCAUUCUUUCCUAUUGCAAAAGGGCCUCCUCCCCUGGGCAGGUAGGUGGCUGCCUGCAACUCUCACCUCACCUUCUCACAGAUCUGCCUAUUUCUAUUUUAAAAUACAAACAAACCAAAAGCCAGAGAAGGUUCCUGACAGGCCCAGGAAAGGAUGUGAUUAGCUUAGUCUGGGCCACCUGCCCAUUUUUUAUGGACUAAAUGUUUGUGUGUCUCCAAAUUGGUAUGUGGAAGCCCUACCCCCAGUGUGACAGUAUUAGGAAGUGGGGCCUCUGAAAGGUCAUUAGGUUUCAAUGAGGUCAUGAGGGUGGGGGGAUCCAUGAUGGAAUUAGUGCCGUUAUAAGAAAAGGAAGAGACACCAGAGUUUUCUCUCCACCAUGUGAGGUUACAGCAAGAAGGCAGCUGUCUGCAAGCCUGAAGAGAGCCCUUACCAGGAGCCAAAUCUGCCAGCACCCUGAUCUUGGACUUCCAGAACUGUGAGAAAUAAAUUCCUGUUCCUGAAGCCACUCAGUCCGUGGGAUUCUAUUAGCAGUCGGGACUGACUUGGACACUGUUCCUGGAGCAACGCUAGUGGCCUGGGGAAGCUGGGCCCUGGGACUGGUGCAGGGAGGGCCACAGUCCCAGCCUAUAGCAGCUGAAGCUGCAUUUGUCCCCAGGAAGAGGACAUCACAGACACAACCCCAGAGGCAGUGGGAGGGGGCAUGAUUGAUUGGGAGCAAGGCAACAGUCUAACAGGGCCCAUCUGUGCCCAGGAGUGGGAGAAGCUCCUGGCCAUGAAGAGAGCCCUCACCAGAGGCCAAACCUACUAGGACCUUGAUCUUGGACUUCCAGCCUCCUCCCUGGAAACACGUGACAGCACAUAUGGGUGGUCUCCCUUCUUGAGCGAGGCCUGAGUCUUCACCCAGGAUCCAACUAGACUGAAAAGAACUGUCUCCCUAACAGCACUCCAUCAGCAUUCAGAGAAAAGAGAUUUCCACCUGGUGUUUUUAACCAACACAACCUCCUUCUACACCCUAACCCAUAGAGGGCCCUGGGACCAGUAUAAGAAGUGUGGGUGUUAAGCUGGGACUGCUAGAAGGAGCAGCAGCCCCAUGGGAGCAGGGCAGGAGGGUCCCCUCUUGACCUGCUGACUGCAAACACUGCAGCCGGAGAGACACUCACUCAGGCCACGGUGGGGAGGCCCAGGGGAGGCACGUGUCCUCAUUCUGCUAAGGCGAUAGGGCUCGGGCACAGGACAGGCGAUUUGA
rnacentral:lncRNA from 10 species